GUGCUGUACCACAGGGCAGUGGGCAUGGAACGGGCUUCACAGGGCUGAGGGCACAAAGCUGGAGUUCAAGGAGUGUUUGGACCACGCUCUCAGACAUAGGGUUGGAUUUUGGGCAGCCCUGUGUGGAGCCAGGAGUUGGACUUGAUGGAGAAGGCAGAAGAUGGCACUGGGCAAUGUGCAAUUUCCUUCAUGAGAGGUGGUGGUUACCAGGCAGGAGUAUGAGCACAGUUUAUCAUCAGAGGGUUCAGCUCACAUCUUGUUUUGGAGUUGGUUAGAGAUUGAGGUAGCUCACAAGUGGUAAGGUAGGAACUGGAAGAGCUGAGUGAGCUGGGAGGGUGCCGGAAGCAGAACAGAAAAGAGCACCGUGAGCGUACUUGUGAGGAGAUUAAACUGAACAGGGCCAGGGCAAGGCAGACAGCUGAGAGGACCUGAGUGUAUUGAAGGCAAUGGACAGAGAACGUUCUGGAACAUUUCAGGCUGUAAGAGGCGACAGUCUUUGUGGAGCUUGUGCACACUGGGGUUUGAACUCCCAGUGUGCAUAGAGAUGAAGGUCAGAUUUAGUUGGAGCAUGGGUAAGGGGCUGGAAAUGCAGCAGAGCACUCGGAGGGUAAAUAGCCAUUGAAAACAGCAGAAAAAUGAUUUCACCUUUUCCUCCUUUUACCUUUGAGUAAGCUACCAUGCAAGUCACCAUCUCCUCUCUUUUUCAUUUUCCCCUUUUCAAAGUAUAUUCCUGAACCUCUUUUUUCCCUCAGGACCAUAAGCAUUAAAAGCUUAUACAGCAUCUCACCUUUAUGACUCAACAGCUGAAGAAAAAAUAAUCACAGUAACAAAAGAAAGUGGUAGUUUUGUUUUUAUUUGCCAGCAACUUGUUGCUGUGUGACAUUGAGAGGCAUCAGGUGUUCAGUAUUUUCUCACAUCCUUUUCUUUUGUCUUUGCUUGCUGAAAUGUUAAGUUCCAGCUUUAUAGCUAGUGCUCUCAUUACCACAAAUAAUGAGAAUUCUACAUCAAAAGGGAGUAGAGAAAAAAACUGUCCCUACCUCUUGGAGAGAGUAGAGAUUGCUCAGAGAUGGCAUGGCACUGCACUACUUCUGCAUGCUCCAGCAACAAGCAAUGGGUUUCUGUCUAACAGAUUAUGUAGAUGUCUGUGAUUAUUCAACAAGAUUAACCUUUUUAUUUAUUAAUCACUCUCUAGUAGACAUUAAGGAGGCUUUUUUCACUACUGGUUCUGUUUUGUUUUACCUUGAAUUGAGCACUGCUUUUUUACACUGUGCUGAUUUGUGGUUCCUUUCACUGAUGAGGAACAGCUGGGGCUGUAGAAAUGCAUGCACACAUCUGUGUAGGUAUGUUGGAGACCAAAGGUUGGGACAAGUUGGUAGGCAAUCUUUGAAACAAACACGCCAGGGAAAAGCCUUGACAUGCAACAAAUAUACGCAAAUGUACCUCACUGCUUUGUAUGCACCCAUGUGAGUACAUACUUCUGUAUACAUGUUUUUUUUCUGCCAGCUUCUUUGGCUACAGCCGUAAGUCCCACGACCUUCCAUAUGCUCUCAUGCUACAGUUCUCAGGAACAGGGUAGCUGUUAAGGAAUGGACUGUUCACAUACUUGAAUUGCUUAGAACUAUGCUUCAGCUGUGGGUUACUGAAGACAUGCCUCCAUUAGCCCGAUCUGGUUUCUGUGUAUUUGCAAAGUUGUUAAAAUAUGACCCUUCAUGAUAGAUGGCUAAAACUUUAGCCAAAGUGGAGUUCAAGAGAAUCUGCUAAGUCAGAUCAGACUUUUAGGUCAAGUCCUAAAGCUUUGCAGCUUUGCCUCUAAAUGGUUCUAAAUGGUACACUUUAUUUCCUGGAAACUUGCAAGUUGAUCGUUGCUAAAGAGUUUAGACUGCUGUUCUAGCAUGUUCACGUGUAUGUUGUAGAUGUCAACAUGCUUCAAAAUACGAAGAAAUUGAGCAAUAUCAGUGUCAGCCCUCUAACCUAAUGUUGCCAUGUUACCCUGGACAGAUUCAGACAGUAAUAUAAUCAUUACUUUAAAAAGCUCAUGAGAGAUUUGAAAGCAUAUCAAGGUGCUUGUAAGAUACCUGCUAUAGCAUGCUGUCAUUCUAACCUAGAUGACUUAGUUAUGCCUAAAUCAAUCCCUGCUUAAUUUUACUUUAAUUUUACUUUGAUUUUACUUUACUACUGCAUGAUUUUUUUUUUUGGUUGCUUUCAUGUAAUAAUUAUUUUUUUUAUUUGGACUUCUUUUUUUAAAGGAAGAAACAUUCAUUAUAUGUUUUAUUCUGCCUUUCCAUUUUGCAUGUUAAAAUUUACAGCUUGUAGGGUGGUUUCAUCUGUGCCAUCUGCAUGCCAUAUUGUACAUCAGAUGGUGGGAUAAAAUCUGUAACAAGAACAUUUUGGGACGUUGAAGUCUUUCAGGAUUUGAAGUAAUGAUAUUCACAGCACGAAUGUGUGGAGCCACUCAUAUAACUGAAAUAGAAGACACAGAAUGCCAAAGCAGCUGCUGAGUGAAAGAGAGACCACACAGUUGGGGAAGCAUACAAGCAGCGAGGACAAAAGAACGUUUGAGGGAACAAGAAAGUGCAACUUCAGGCAGUGAGAAACUGGAGUCAAUCACUGGGAAUUAUUGACAAGCAGCCAUGCGCCCACACAGAGAUUAGAGUCUCGCUUUGGGAUGCAAUGUGAAUUAAUACUGGUGUAAAGAGUCAGUAUCAAAAAGGCACCUGGCUUAGUGUUUUCUGAUCCCUGACUAGGCAACUUUGUCAUUUAUUGUUGGGUUUUAGACAUGUUCACAGUCACAAAGUAGGACACCAUUACCUGUACUAACUUCUGUUAGAAAGGACAGCCUAAGAACUAACUAUGACGUUACAGUUUGUGCAAGGAUUGAUAGGGCCCAAUGGAACUCCAGAUGUUGAUAGGUAUACUUCAGUCUUGAGCCCUCACAAUAGAUUUCAUUUGCCCCUGCCUUUAAGUAUCUCUUCACUUUCCUUGAGAUCUCCGGUUUAAAGAGCAAUAGGAAUAAGAUCCUGUUAGAUGUAUUAUGUUUAAUACUGUGGCUAGUAGGAAUUGCCAGUUCUCCCCUUUCUAGCUAUGAGUGCAAACUUCUCAACAAUUUUCAACAACUUUCUAACUUUUCAAUACAUUUUAUUUUAUUUUUAGUGAAAGCAGUCUGUUCAUCUUAGAUCAUCCUGAACCAGAGCUUGUAUUUUAUAUUUGUCUUGCCUGUUACAUUUGCUGGUGACUCAACAUUUCCAACUUCAGAAGUCAGGUUUCAAGAAAUGAAACAAAUACAAAUAGCAACAAAAGGGAACUCUGCUUUAUUUUCUUGAUAUUCAUGAGCUAUGAAUGUCACACAUACUGGAAGCAAUGAUUUUUUUCCUAGAAAUAUUAGUAUGAAGGUUUUAUUUGAUCCAACCUACCAAACUGUUUGAUAUUAAGCUUCAUCUGGGAAAGGUGUCUGAAUUCCACAGACCCGGUCUUGCAGAUGUAAAAAGCUGAUAGCAAACUUUGCUUUCACUACCUUUGUUGGGGGCCAUAGCAAGUCCCCCUAUCCUGAUGGGUAAUUCUGAUUGAGCCUUCUAUGUAACUUUCAUUUUUCUGUGUGAAUCACAAUGGUCUCUUAUGAUUUAGUAUACCUUUUUCUUUUAUUAUUGUCAUGAAUUAUUCCUUCUCUGGUCGUGAUACUGUAAAGUUCUGUUGGCUAUGUUUAAAGUCGAGGCACUGAUGCAAUGGGCACAAUCCAGAUUAGCUGUUCCCUGAAGAAUGCUUCUUCUAAAUGGACAUCUGAACAGAUGUUUAGGAUGAAACAGAAGCAAUGCUGAAGAUGGGGAGCUAGAGUGUAUAAAAUUAAAUGGGUUUACUGCAGAAAAACUCUACCAUUUAGGGCAGAGCUAGGAGCAGAAUUCAAGUCUCUUGAUCAGCCACUGCUUUAAUUCCAAUGUCAUCAUAUCUAGGAUUGAAAAGGGCUUUAAGGAACAUCUAGUUCCAGCCACUGGCCAUGAGCAGAGGCACCUUCCACUAGAUCAGGGUGCCCAAAGCCCCAUUCAUCCUGGCCUUGAACAUUUCCAAGAAUGGAACUCUCCUGGUAGUUUCACUGUAGCACAUCACCAGUGGCACACAAAGACUUUCUGUUCCUUCCUGAUCUUGAUAGGAGUUUGCAGAAUGAGCACGUUCAGAGAUAAUCAUGUCACAAAAAGAAAAAAGUGGUUACAUAAAAGCUCUGAAGCUAAUCACUAGAAUGUCAGUCUCAGUGGGAAUUACAGCCAACUUCUCAUUUUUUCCAGAACCUUCUGUAAAAUACUUGGAAUUGCAAUAUCAACUCUUGUUUACAGGCUCACAACAGUACUCUUCUAGACACAGUAGGAUGCUUUUUCCUUUUCUCAGAAGCAUAGACCUAACAGCAGACUGUGCCACCAAAAGCCCCUCUCCCCGAUUCUCUUCUUUGACUUCUAAGGAGCUUGAAGACCACACUGCGCCUGCACACCUCUACAGCAUCGCUAUCAGGUGCAUGAACUAUCAAGAAUGUAACACUAGGUGUAGAAAAUGGCCCUGAAUCCAUUGUGGAGCCAAGGCGUGGAAACUGGGCAUUUUAAAGUGUCGCCAGAUAUCUCUGCUCCUGGUGUCUGGGUCCUCUCUACAUCUGCUCUGAUUGUCAGCACCAGGGACUUGAAUGUUAUGCAGAAGGAAACUGGAAAAUCACAAGACUUUAAGGUACUGAUUUCCAAAUAAAACUGAGGGUGAGGAGAAAAGUACACUGUGAGUGGAAGGUUUCAGGAAGGAAAUACUAUUGACAGUGAGAGCUGAAAGUGGAUGCUAAAAGUGGCUUAUAAAAUCCUUCAAGAGAUACUACCAGGGAGGGAAACAGAAAUUAAUGAAAUUGUUUUUGCCAUGUGUGGAUGGACAAGAAAUGGAGAUGGGUAAACACAGCACUUGUUACUGGUUGAAACAGUCUUCUCUGGCUUCAUCAAAUGCUUUGGUCUACUACCUGUUCUUUUCACUGCCAGCUGACUGGGAGUAGUGCUUCCAUUCACAACCUAUCUGGUUUCACUGGAGUAGGGUUGCUGAGCAAGAAGUUGAACCAAAAGCAAGCUCAAUAAUGUUCAGGCCACCUCCCCGCAAAGAAGCUUGACCUUCAUCACAUCAUGAUGGAGCACUCCCCUUCCUACUGCAAGCACUUACCUAUUGGGGAACAAGAAGGGAAAUUCCACCAGGAAGCUAGGGAAGAAAGAUGCCUCUCUUCAAUGCCUCUGGCUGCCCAGAGAGACCAAUGAUUCCCCAUCCGGGGGCACAUUUAGAGCUUGGCCCUGGUCUGAGCAGAGGGGCUGGAGUAGGUGCUCUCCCUUUCUUCUUUCAGUAAGCAACUGUGUACGGCCUCAGUAAAGAAGAUGGGACAGUUUUAGGUGCUUUCAGCUUCCCAGCAAUAUCAACUCUGCUGUUGUAGCUAACAUGAAAAAACUAACAACAAUGAAGUGUGAAGAUGUGGAUGGCUUGCAUAGAUGUAAAUACACAGACAUACAGAAGCACUGGCUUUACCUGCUCUGUGGGAAAGCAGUCCAACAGCAAAAUGUGAGGGCGGAGGGAGGGGUGCUUGAGGUUGAAGAAACUCAUGGAAAAAGCACAAAUUCUUAACAGAUUUUGUUUCCAAGAUGCUUGUAUGGAGCCAUUGUAGCAAAACAAGCAAGUCUGAAUGAAUGGAAGGCAAUGUCACAGGCACUGAGUGCUGGCUGCACUACUCAGUUACAUGCUCACCCCUUUCUCCCUGCAUCUCCUUUCCUGGGAGUGCCAGAGGGACUAAAUAAAUGGGGAGCAAACUUUAUAAUGUCUUUUACUGUGCUAUUUUCAGAAUUCCAAUAAAAGACAUCAUCAAACAUUAAUUCUGGACCUCAGAAAUAUAUAAAGGUUUACAUAUUUAGGAUGACUAUUGUAAAGGGCGUGAUUUCCAUCCCAGGGGAAAGAUUUGCAGACCCUGACUUCACGUGUAUGUAGUUACACCUAUGAACAAAAUUCAGGUACACUGAAUGGUUCCAGGAAAAAAAAUCUCUGAUACUUCUCAGAGAACAGUCUUUCAGAUAAAAUAAAAAUCCUUUGCUUUCUCAAAUUGUAUCAUGCUAGUCCCUAAUUUACACCACUUUCUUGCCCAUAAGCGAAGUCCCUUGGAGCAUCAGAAGUGCCUUCUCAUGUGCUCUGUCUGGGUUUUGUGCAGCAGGAUUAAACCAACUUUUCCCCUGGUCAUUCAACAACAUCCUGAGCCCAGGAGAACUAGACCCAGUAUUUCAGCAUCGUGGUGAGGUUCUCUGUUAACCCAGCUCCUGUCUCCUCUGCCUGCAUAUCUGAAGAUUUCAUCAUCCUUUAGGUCCCUCUUGCAGUGGGAGUUUCUGUUCAGCUCCUAUGUCCUUCUUUUCUGAAUCAUUUCCAGAGCUUCAGAAUCUAGUUUCCAUCUUACUGCAGUGGCAUUCAUUCUCUGUUUCUAGACAUAGAGCUUCAUGUUUACCUGUAAUAAACUAAUACAUCACAUGCUUGCUUUCUGUUUAGUGCUGAUUACAUCAGUGACCUAUUUUCAUUUCAGUUCCUCUGGUAUUCAUGUCUGUGGCAAUAUGAUGGCUUUGUUCUCUUCUGUAUCACAAAUUAAAAUGGGCAAUGGCUAGUAAACAACUCCCAUGGUGCUCCCCUAGUUAACACCCUUCUGGUCAAUGGCUCAUUGUGUCACAUUCAGAUUAAAAAUUGGGUUAACCAGUUUCUGAACCAUCCAGUCAAUUAAUUUUCUACAACUUCUUGGCCAAAUUGUGCACAACAAAAGCCUCGUGCUUUAUAGGCGUUUACUAUAUGAAUAGAACUGUUUUUAUGAAGUAAGCUCUUACUCCUCAUAGCACGCUAGCUCAGCAUAAUCUACUUUCUGUAAAUCCAUGCCAGUUGGCAUAAAUAGCCUCUACUUCUUUUUAUUUUGUGAUCUAAUAACACAGGCAUUUUGGCCAGCAUUCUUGUUAGACUAUGAACAUCCAUUAGGCUCAUAGCCAGCAUAAUGGUGAAUAGUCCAUAGCCUGAAAUGGCCUGGGCUCUCUUGCACACCUUUCAAAACACUGUUCCAGGGUGCCCUUCUUUUCCAACCUCUGGAGAUCCCUUGGACUUCCAGUUCUUCUGAAAGUGACAUUUAGUGGCUCACAGUGUUCUUCAGUAAGCUCUUUGAAACUUCAAGGAUACUAAUGGUACAAGUUCUCCAAUUUUAGGAUGCCUGAUAGCAGCAGCUGUUGUUUGAGCCUUUUGAGGCAUCUGCUUUCUCACCAGCCAUGUGGCCAGACAUAGCUUGCUUUUUUCAACCAUCUCAGUGGAUUAAGAUACAUGCAGCACACUGCUUGCUAUUGCUCAGCCCAUACAUGUGGGUAUGAAGCAAGUCUUCCUGAGGCCUCACUGCCUCCGUAGCUCACCUGAGAGAGAUUCCAGUUGAAGAGAUUCUUAAACAACAAAACUGGAUCUCUGUUUGCUUCGACCAAUCAUGAGUCACUGUAGUUGGCACUAAGUGCCAGCACUACAUUCAGUACAGCAGGGCUGCCGUUCAUCUUUUCCCACUUCUCUUCAUCCACAGCUCUUGGAGUGGGACACUGUCAGCCAAUGCCAGCAGUGAGAUCUUUGACAGCCACGAGGUUGGAUCGCCACUGGCUGCCCUUCUUGGCCGGCUCCAUAUGGAAAUGCUAGAGUGAGGGUGACUGGAUGCUCUCAUAAGCAAGCAGCACCGAGGAUGUCCUAAUCCCACAAAAGAUUUCCAGUUCACAUAAGUGCAUGAUUUUUAAAAAGACAUAUAAUGGCUUUAGAAUGGAAUGGAAUGGAAUGGGAUAGGAUAGGAUAGGAUAGGAUAGGAUAGGAUAGGAUAGGAUAGGAUAGGACAGAGUAGUGUAGUGUAGUCUUCAAAGAUCAUCACAUCGAACCACCAUGCAGUUCAAAAAGCUAAAGCACAGUGAAGGCAGUGACAAAAUGCCUUGAACACCGACAGGCAUGGGGCACCAACCACCUCUCUAGAAAGCCUGUUCCAGGCUUUGAUCCCUCUCAGGGUAAAGAAAUGUUCCCCAGUGCCCCAGUUCCCCAGUAGCCUCCCCUGGAGUUCUCUGCCUUUCCCCUCCUGCCAUUGGUUUCCAGGAGCAGAGCCCAGCACCUCCCUCUGCUAGAGAGCAGCAAGGUUGCCUCUCAGCCUCUUUUCCAGACUGGACAGUCUGAUAUCCAUGGCCUUCUCUCACAGGAAAUGCCUUCCAGUUCUGCUUUGUUGCCCUUUUCUGGAUGCUUUCAAUGACUUUGUCAUCCUUUUUAAACUGUGGGGACCAGUACUGCACAUAAUAUUCCAAGUGAAUCCACACCAAGUAUAGCAGGAGAGUCACCUCUUUUGACCAGCUGCCUGCGCUGUGCUUAAUGCAGCCCACAAUGCAUUUUGCCCUCUUGGCUGCCAGGCACGCUGCUGCUCACACUGAGCUGCUGGCACCAGCAGCCCCAGGUCCCUUCCUGCAGAGCUGCUCCUCAGUCUGUCCCCAGUCCAGCGCUGCUCCAUCCCAGGCUCAGCACGUGGCGUUUUUCUUUGCUGAACUUUGUGCCACUGAUGAUUGUCCAAUGCUGCAAUGUAUCUUGAUGCCCCUGAAAGGCCUCUCAGCCCUCCAGGGAGUCAGCAGCACUUCCCAGCUUCACGUGUCACCAAACUUGAUGGAGUGGAGGAUACACUUUGCUCCUGCCUCCAGAUCACCAGCAACUACUCCUGAAAGGAGAUUGUGGUGAGGUGAAGAUCGGCCUCUUCUCCCAGGUAACAGUGAUAGGACAAGAGGGAAUGGCAGUAAGUUGCUCUAGGGGAGGUUCAGGUUGGAUAUUAGAAGAAAUUUCUUAUCAGAGCGGUGAGGCUGUGGCACAGGCUGCCCAGGGAGGUGAAGGAGUCACCAUUCCUGGAGUUAUGUGGAUGUGGCACUGAGGGACGUGGUCAGUGGUCAUGGUGGUCAGUGGGAGGUCAGUUGGGUGGGCUGAUGGUUGGAAUAAAUGUUCUUAGCGGUCUUUUUGCCUUCUUUUCAUCCACCAAUCACGUAACCUUAUCGUAGAAGCAAAUCACCUAAACACAUUAUGAUGAUUUUCAUCUCGAAAUAUUUAGUAGCUUUCAAACAGAUGCUCGCGGCUUCCUAACAACGUCGGUGUCUCCUAAAGAAAGGCACGCAGCGCUCCGAUGCGCUCAGCUCGGGUGAGCGCUGCUCCGCGCCCGGCCCGGCCCCGCACUGCCGCCCAGCGGUGCCUGCCCACGCCGCGCCCACGCCGCUCCGCUCGGGUCUUCGUGCUCUGCUCGUAGCCGGCCCGCUCUCAGAGAAAGCACGGGGCUGAUACGGCGGAGAGGAUGAAAGUAAAACACGCUGCGCGGUGGGACUCGGAGGCAAAGUAAGAGGCAGCAAGGAGUGGCUGCAGCACGGAGACUGAAGGGGCUCUGACUUGAAUAUCCCACCGAAGGACACUGGUGGUGAGGCCCGGCAUAUGGGGAGAUCCAUUAAAGCUCAAGCACUGACAGUAUCAGAACAAGCCACAAGCCCACCUGCACAGAGUUAACAUUGCUUCAAACAUAUUUCAGCUAAAAUCACAGAGUCAUUAAGAUUGGAACAGGCCUCUAAGAUUAUCUAGUCCAACCACCACUUCUCACCAAAACAUUUUAGAGGAUGUGUCUGCAAGCUGUUGUUCUGAUACUACAAAUCCUAAAGCUAAAUCUUCUGUGUCCUGAGAUUGUAGGUAUUUAAAAUGUAUUCAUUUUUUUUUCUCUCUGUGUUUCUCAUCUGACCACUGGCCCUGUGCCUUUCACAUUGUACUGUGCAAAAUAGCCAUUGCCCACAUUUUAGGAGAAGAGUGUAAGAAAUCUCUUAGCAGUACUGGAAAAUGCUAAGCAAUUUCAUUGAACUAGUUGGCUGGGGAUCAUUCACAAACAUAACUGUGGCAUAAUAUUUAAGUUGGUUUUUAGAACCAAACCCCCAAAUGAAAAUUUACAAGUACUUGAAAAGCGAAAAGAAGCAAGGAUGAAGACACUACUUUUUUACCCUUCUAGCAGGAGAGAUUUUCUGGUAAAAAGUACCAAACAAAUGAUUAGCCUUUCUGUUGCACAUUUCAAACCCAGAUUUUAAAGUAUUCUGGUUGGAUGUUUCUCCCUUGAAAGAGUGGUAGGGCAGCGGCACAGGCUGCCCAGCAAGGUGGUGGAGUCACCAUCCAUGGAUGUGUUCAGGAAAUGUUCAGAUGUUGUACUAAGGGACAUUGGUCAGUGGGAAAUAUUGGUGAUAGAUGAAUGGUUGGACUGGAUGAUCUUGGAGGUCUUUUCCAACCUUGGUGAAUCUAUGAUUCCAUAAUCUGAGUAUUUUACAACAGAAGUCAAGCAUCGCUGGCAGAAAAAACUGAACUCAAAUGGCAGAAUUACUUGGUGCAGCUCUGCCAAAGAUGUAACAGCAGAAUUAAAUGCUGAGAAGUGCCUUGUUUCUCAGUUGUCCGCAUAUCAGGGACUACACUGACUCUCACUGCUGCAUUAACUAUGCCGAGAUAGUGAAAAGUGAAAAAAUACUCACCAUGUGCUUUGGACCCCUGUGAGGAUCAGAAAACCAUGCCUGCGUUGAUCAAGU